CACAGCUACCUGUGUGCGGGUCCAGGACGUGUGCGUAUCCCUGUGUGCGCCCCUGAUACAUACACGCGCUCACCCGCUCGUCUACAUACCUCCACCCGUCACCCCACCCGCCGACCUCCCCGUCACCCCGAUAACUGGAGAAUCCUCCCUCGUCAGUCACCGAGGGGCGGCUGAGUAAUACACAGUGCAACUCCGAAAACGUUUAAGUAGCGAGUGCGGUUCGCUGGGGACGGGAUCAGCCUGUACUGUUGUGAUUGAUGCUGCCAAAGCGACUCUCGAGCUGGCGCUGAUACGCCUGGGAUGGCGGCCUCCGCCUGUGAUGUGAAUCUGAAUAAUGCUUUAUUUACCCGGAUUUAACGUGCCCUGGUGAGCGAGGCGCGCGUGCCCGAGCCCUACCAGCAAGUACUGUGCGGGCUGAUCCUCUUGCCCUGCGCGAGAUGAAUGGUCCCACAGCGCCUGGCAAACGUGCGUGUUGAUGCCACGCAACGAGAGACUGUGGCCGCCGAGAGAGAGGAAAUAAGUGCAGGGAGAGCGGCUCUGGAUCAGUGGGGUUAUGAAGGAGGACCUGCUCGGCCCGGACCACCUGCUGGAGGCGCAGAGGAAGCGCACAGACCUGCCCAGGGCUAAUGACGUUCCUUCCCGUCCCCGAACCAGCCAGAACCGAUCGAGUCCGUCAUGAGGUCCGGCGUCGGGCGAGAGAAGGACAGGAACCCGAUUUGGAAGGAGAAGAGAGAGA